rnacentral:lncRNA from 1 species
GAACCAUCCAAGACUUAGUCACUGUGGGUUCCCCCUCCCUGGAUGGAUUCAAGACCAGGCUGGGCAGGGCUGUGAGCAACCUGCUCUACUGCGAGGUGUCCCUGAACCGCGUGAUCUCUAAGAUCCCUUUCAGUACAAAUCAUUCUAUGGUCUCACACAGAGAUAGUGGAUGUGUGUAGUACUUUGAGGAAAAAAGAGCACUUUUGGCUUGUCAUUUCUCAAUGUGCUUAGAGACUGCAGCUCUCUUCAGCUGGUGGCCCAGCGCAGGGGCAGGCAUUCAGCAGUGCCUUCAGGGGCUGCAAUGGCACUGCGGGCAAAGGCAUUCUAUGCGUUCCCAAAGGUGUUCAUUUUUUCUGAUGCUUUUUUUUUUUUUAUAGAGGUUGUCCUCAGUGUUCUGAAGAGCUCUAAACCUCUUGUGGCCAAUAUAUCAGCAGAGUUGGAGGCAGAUCCAGAAGGAUGAAAAAGCAAUGGCCUUCUGCUAUCAUCAGAAUGUAUGAGAUCUGCUCCAGCGAGCGGCUGGGUGGGCACGUGUGCCUGCUGGCUUACCCACUGCAGGGGUCUCACGUAGGCUGCUCCCUUACGGUCAGCUUCUGUGGUAACACCUCCACUCGUCCUGCAGCACCUCAUCUGCUGCAGGGUGCCUCCGUUGGCCAUGAGUCAUGACUGGUGAGUCAUCACUGAUGGGUUGACCCAUCAUGUGAUAGG